rnacentral:lncRNA from 1 species
UUGUGCUUUGUGUCUAUGGGUACCCACAGAGGCCAGAAGAGUGUAGAAUCUCCAGAUCUAGAGUUACCAGCAGUUGUAAACCAUCCAGUGUGAGUGCACUGAACUCAGGUUCUCUGGAAUAGCGGCAAGCACUCUGGACUGCUAACCUGCCUCUGAGCCCUCACAAUAAGUAUGAUUUUCUAGUCUCGUUCCUGUUGGGAACUCAUUUGAGUGCUAGUGAUUGAGAAAAGGAAUCUUGUGCAUCUAUGGUAUUCUUCAUUGUUUAGUGACAUUUUAAAUUUUUCUUGGGUAGUAACAACUACAGACACCAAAGACACCAAUGUAUUUUUAAAUAAUUUUUGAGACAUAGUCUUUCAUUUUUCUUACUAGUAGCCACCUUUAAAGUUACUUUUGUUUGUUUGUUUUAUUUUUUCUAGACAGGGUUUCUCUGUAUAGCUGGCUGUCCUGGAACUCACUUUGUAGACCAUGCUGACCUUGAACUCAGAAAUCUGCCUGCCUCUGCCUCCUGAGUGCUGGGAUUAAAGGCAUGCUUAUUUGUUUGUUCUGCUCCGAAUGCACCCUGAGUAGGCUCAGGUUCCCCUUUUCUAGAUCCUGGUUAUCCCGGAUGCUUCGAAGCCUACUUGAGGAUUUACUCCUGUGUCGAGUACUUCCCAUCCAGUGCCUCAGGCAGGGCAGUAUCCUGCCCAGGAAUGGGUGAAGCAACCCUGGUCCACAGCCAUGGUAGAGAGAAAUGGAGGUGGCAGAACAGGCUCCACUCUGUGAGAAUGUGGCAGGGCUGAAACCCAAAUGUCUGACCCUGUGCUGUGCCAGGUGGAUCCGCUUACAUCCUGGACUCGUUAGCUUAGAGGGGAGAGCCCUGGGCCCUGGUUCAGCCUGGCUGGGCUGGACUCUGUGGUUGCAAGGACUCUGCUGCUUGUGGGGCUGUGGCCAGUCUUAAAGGAGUAAUGGAGCAGCUUCUCCAUUUGCUCGGUAAACAUUUACUGACCACCAGGCACCUUGCUGGCUGUGGGCGGCCAUGGUCCCUGGCCACACAGAUCUUACAGUCUUGGGGGUACAGACAGUAAAUACAAGGAAAUUGCAUGAUUACCCAUGUGAUCAUGCUUAUUGUUUAUAGUUAUGUAUUAUAUAUGCUAGUGACUCCCGUGUUUAUAAUCUCAACCCAUCCUCUUCAAUUUCAGCCUUGAAGAUUUUCCUGUUUGUCUGUCCCUCUCCUUCCCAAGGGUUUCUCACAUGUACAUCCAAGCCAGAGCGAAUCCACACUCCUCUCUUACGCUCCAUCUUGUUUCUGUCUCUGUUACUGGUGACUUCAUUCUUCAGUUGUCCAGGCCUCUAAAACUCUCAAGUUGCCCUUGUCUCAAAUUCCAUAUCCAUUUAAUCAGUAAGUGCUGCUGGCUCUGCCCUUAGUGUAUUCUGCACUAGACACUCUCCCUUCCGUACCACUGUGAACCACAGACAAAGUGAUGGUGUGACCUGUAAGUUAGAUUUUGUUACUCCCUUGCUCAGCCCUUCCUGGGACUGCCCAGCUCACCCUGUCCUGCUGGUGGAGUACAAGGCGCCCGUUCACUUGUCUUUAGGCAUCUGCUCUCUUCAUCCCCCUUCUCAGCCCCUUGGAACCUGAAUUGGUUCCAUCUUCUCCUCAGCCCUCCCAGGCCAUACUUCUGGAAAAUCAUCCCUCCUUCCUUUGCUCUUGGCAUUAUUUCCCAUCUCUGUUCUGUUUUCCUCCAUAAUCCACAGCAUCACCUAACACUGACUGGAUCACCUUUCUCUGUGUAGUCAGAGAUUUGGUCUUCAGUGCCAACAGCAGUGCCUAACAUGGUAGGUGCCCAAUCAGUUUUUCUGGAAUGAGUUAACAUGUAACAGAGCUAAUAGGAUCUGCAGGAAAUGUAAGUGAGCCUGCCUGUGUUAGAGCAGGUAUCCUGAGGAAAGAACUUGGGCUACAGCCUGAGUGACCUAGGACCAGCAUGCCCCUACCCAGGAGCGAGUAGACCAGCUAGUGCCUGGGGUAUGAUUCUGAGUGGGAGCCUCAUGUUGGAGACAGAGGUACUGAAGCUACAGCACUCCUUAGAGCAGCGCCACUGUGAGGUCCUAACCAGGCAGGGGCACUGCAUUUGAUGUGUGCAGGCUCACCCUGUGUUCAUAGUCUGUAACUCACAGGGCAGGGAAGGGGUAGCCGUGUAGAAUGUGAGGCAGGAAGUGAUGUGGAUCCCAGGCCUCUUCACCAUUGAUUUGGUAGAACAUUUUUAGGAUCAUAGGAUUUCAGAGCUGAAAAGAAACCUAGAGAUUUCUUUAACUCUUUUUUUUUUUCUUAUCCAGCUAUUAAAAAGGAGAACAAAGGUGUAUCCGUACCUCACCUCGUUCACAGAACUACAGUGCAGCUUAUAUCUAAACUGCAUGGGCUCUGUCAAGUAUUGAUUGCCAUGAGGUCAAGAAGUGUGGUGUCGGCAAGGUCAAACGUAUUCAAAAGGGAGGAGCAUUUAGUCUCUGUUAUGUUCAUGAUUGGAGUUGGCAGGUCAUUUGUUUCAUGCUUGGUUGAUAUAUAAGCUGUAUACACAUAUGUAUAUACAUAUAUGGCACUAUUUCUAGUUUACUGCAGCAAGAAGUUAUGAGGAUAAAGUUAGCUAAAUAAUUUUAAAUUCUUUUCAUGGCUGCACAGUCUCAAUUCAGGCUUUCAUCUGACAUUGGAGGGAAAGCUUUUCUUCCUUUCUCCAUUCCAGUUGUCUGUGGCUUUGGAUAAGCCCCUUGAUCUCUUUAAGCCUCAGUUUCCCUGUUAGUAUAAUGGAGAGACUGCCUCUCUGCUGACCUCUCAGAGAGGUUGUGAGACUGAAACGAGACCCUGGAUGAAAAGGAGACUUUGUGAACUUAGGUUUCUAUUCAGAGCUACAGAAUUUUUACAAAGGCAUAUCCAAUGAUUUUUCCCCCCUUUUAGAUCACUGAAGCUCUUUUUAAGGUGAAAAACUAUAAAAGAUCUAGUUAGAACCUAUUUUUGGAUGGGAAUCACUAAAACGACCAAGGUUCUCCUGAGUAAGAUAGAUGCAGCAUAGAGAUCGCUGUGUCACUUUGGUUGUUGCGGUCACUCCGUGUAUGUGUACAGCACCUGCUUGGUGGGAGUGAGGACCCCCCAACAAGGUCUUCUUAGAAGCUUUAUAUUAGAAAGAAGAGAGUUCUGGCUGGCGAGAAAAGUGAUGGGGCAGAAGGCAACCAUGAUCUGUCCUGCCUGUCACUGUACAUCUAAUAACGUGAGGCCUCUGAGGCCUGGGGCUGAGGAUUCCCACCUGAGUGGUCCCAUGGCUGAGUUCACUGUGGCCCGUGUUUCCACUUACAAACCUUGCUGAGUCUUCCUGGAAAUGAGUGGUCACCUUUCCCUGUUAACAAGCAGCCUAGUUAAGCUGGGCCACUGGGGAAGAGGAAGCACAUGAAUGAGAAGCUCGGGUCAGUUUAGGCCACAGAGGAAGUCAGAGGCCAGCAUGGGCAACACUGAGAUCCCAUCUCAUCAAAACACAGCAAACAGUGCCCCUCCCCCACGGCUAACCAGACAUGUAACAUAAAAUAUAUAUAAUAUACAUAAACUAUACUUGAGUUUCUAAUGACAUCUGGGACCUUACACGUGCAAGUCCUAGACCACUCGGUUAUGCCCCUUCGGUUUUUUAGGAGUGGUCUCAUUCUGUAGCUCAAACUGGGCUGAAACUUGCUAUGUAGUUUAGGCUGGCUGUGAACUCAUAUUUGUUGAAUGCCUUACCUCUGCCUUCUGAGUGCUGGGAUUCCGGGAUUGGGGCACCAGGCCUAUGUAGAAUAUUUUCACUAUUCAUCCAUAUUGUAGUAUGUGUCAAAGUGUCUUU